rnacentral:rRNA from 1 species
UACGUAGGGGGCAAGCGUUUGUCCGGAAUCAUUGGGCGUAAAGAGCGUGUAGGCGGCCUGAUAAGUCGGCUGUGAAAGUCAAGGGCUCAACCCUUGAAUGCCGGCCGAUACUGUCAGGCUAGAGUCCGGAAGAGGAGAGUGGAAUUCCUGGUGUAGCGGUGAAAUGCGCAGAUAUCAGGAGGAACACCAAUUGCGAAGGCAGCUCGCUGGGACGUGACUGACGCUGAGACGCGAAAGCGUGGGGGAGCAAACAGG